CAAAAUAUUAUUCUAUCAGCUGAGCAUUAUUCAUCAGAUCAGCCGAACAGCCAGUGGUUCGACUAUUCCCUUUUUUCAUGCUGCCCUUUCUGUUCUAGCCAUGGUCGUCGACCGAGAUGAGAAAUGGAUGCCCAAGUUUGAUUCCAACCCUAGGCAGUCCGUGCAGCCGUCUUCUUCUGCUCUCGCUGGGAGGCUGCACACUGGAGGGUCAGUAGUUGUUGCAUCUUCGGACUCCAUCGACGAUGACGACGAAGCAUCUUCCUCGUUGAGCAUCACCAACCGCUGCUCCCCCAAGUCAGUCUUCUUGAUGGUCUCGAAGCUGAGUGAGUUCAAAAAGCAACUUAUUCGCGAUAUUGGUUUUGGGGGGAUUCUUGAAAUCCCAUGUAUUAGCAAGCUCAAUCUAAAGCUGUCGUCAUGGUUGCUGAGUAAGCUAGAUACAGAAGAGAGUUGUCUGGUAUUUGGGCCGUCUAGGCAAAUAUAUGUGCAUGAAGACGAUGUUGGAAUUGUUCUUGGGAUCCCCAAUGGAGAAAUUGAUAUUACCACUACUUCAGUUACUGAUGAUCAGUUAGAUUUGUUGCGGUCUAGUAUUGGGUUGGUAGGUCCGGAUGUUAGGAGUAUUAAGGGAAUUGAUUAUGUGCUAGAGAAGCACCUGGAUCACCAGUCGUCGAGCCAAGAGUUAGACAGUUUCAAAGUUGCAUUUGUUGUCUUCAUAGUCGCUCAUCUGCUCGCGCCUUGUGUGAAACACGAUCAAGUUCACAUGGAUAUCUGGGUGCGUUGAAGAAUCCUGGAUCACUGGACCGUUACAAUUGGUGCCGCUAUGUGUAUGGUCAUGUGCUUGAUGCAGCACAGAAAGCCCGGGCCGAAACUAUUAGCAAGGGGCGUUGCACAGCGUUGUUUGGGUGCCACUACUUCCUACAGAUUCUGUUCCUCGACAAUAUUGAUCUGAAUAGGCUCAACAAGUCUCACAAAGUUGUGCCUCGGCGAUCAAGAAUCGUUGCGUACGAUGGCAGUCAUGUGUGCUAGCAGAGGAGAACAAGAUUUUUCACAAUUUAUUAGGGUUCGGCCACCUGAUUCUACUGCAUACAUGAGGCACACAUAUCAAUCUCCUCGUAGAUCAACUCAUGGUUCUUCUUCGCGGGAGCGUUAUACAGUGCCAUCAGUGCCAAGGCAGCAGACUACAACCAUGGAAGCUAACGCAAUCUUAACGCCUGCUUCUUUUUCAUUCAAGAGCCCAACUGAUUUAGCUUCUUAUAUUCGUGAACGUCAUCCUGGUUUGGAGAGAUCUUAUUGCAUUGAUUAUAUUAAGAACCAGAACGCCCUUACGAUGAAAGACAUUUUUGAGCUGCGGUCAUCUAUUAUGAGGAUUGAGGAGCAAUGCACAUCUUGUCGACUGGUUAGCUGAUAACUUCGGGGCUGUCUAGAUGCAAAUGGUACAUUUUUUUCCUUGCUUCGCGACAAAGGCCCUGUAAUGCCGGUCGGCUCUCCUUGCACGCCAGCCAUUUCGAAGCCGUGUCAUACAGGAUCCAACCUAUCCAGUCCGAGCCCUGCCGUUUCCCCACGCCCUCCUCAUAGUGACGCCCUACCUCAGCGCUCACCAAAUAUUGUUGCAGGGAGGACCGAGGCUGAACUCACCAAGAGGCCAUACCACAUUGAUGAUCAAACACCAGCCAAGAAGCUCAAGUCCAGCCUAGAUAUUGAUGUUGCCCCGCCAUCAUUCGAUUUAGGGUUUGACAUUUCUCCCGCUCCUGCUCCUGAAGCUACUCCUGACCCUAAAAGUUUUUUAAAAGUGUCAUUCACUCCUUCCAAUAAGUUUGAAGCUCCUCAACCUGGUUGUGAACCAUCAUCGGGUUUGGUCGAAUUGCCGUUGACUAUUGCGAACAAGCACCUUGCUCAAUGUUUGGUCUUAGAUAUUGUUCAUGUCACAGAAGAAGGAAUUGAUCCUGCUGGCAAUGUACUUUACGGACAAUUGAUAAAUGAACCCUACGACAAGAUCAUUGCACCAGUCCCUCGAACUCGACAAUUAUCUUGGAGUCCAGCAUUGCGACAUCGCUAAUUUGACAAUGCUGUCCUAGAGAAAUUGGUUAACUGUUGCCGUGAAAUGCCGGAGGUACAUACAAGACGCGAAUGGAUCAUGCAUCCGUUACCAAGGCACUUGGUUCUUACUGGACCAGAGCUUAUACAGGCUUUUGUCCAUCGAAAAAAUCACGAUUCGGAUAUGAUUGAUGGUGCUAUUCGACGUCUAAACCAGAUGGAUGCAACCAUUUUUUCCUCCGGCCACCCUGCGCGCUGGCGCCACUUCUUAGAAUCGGAUUUUGCAAUGAACUCGCUGGCUGGCUACAACCCUGAGCUCAUUCUCACGGUUUACAACCAGUUUGUCAAUGUUGAUUAUUCUGUUCCUAGUUGCCAGAUGGUACUGCACAUUUUUUUGGAUUCAGUUAAAAUUCACCUCUCUUCAGUUUGUACUGGUUGACACUAUAUGGUGCGCUUACAUGUUUGACACCUAUUUUUCGGAGCUGCACAUUCUUGACCCUGCCCACAGUACCGAACGGUACAAGCUGCACCAACAACUACACCCGAUAUUGGAUGACUCGCUCCGCAAAUGCUUGACCUCAUUUUACCAAGGGUGGUCCCUGGAACCAUUAGACCAAUGGAAGUUGAAAUAUCCUCAGCUUGAACCUGUUUUUAACAGUGAUGAUUGCGGCACCAUUAUGCUUCACUAUGCUCGCAACUACAAUGGAAUGUACCUGGAUGAACCACUGAAUGAGGAAAACAUUGCCCACGCUGGCCACUCUCUGAUGCUUGAGAUUCUAUACCUGGAAGGCAAUACUGCAGCGCUCCCUCAGGCUGUUGCGGAGAUCUUCCGGUCUUGAUGUAUGGGCUUUCUGCGGUGAUGACGUUAUGGUUUCCACGGCGCUCUUGCAAGUUCUACUUUUGAGGCCAUCUUAGCGCUCAUCGGUGCUUCACGUACCACCGAUAAGCGGUUCUGUUAUUUUGUGUUCAGACCCCAACUUAGCACGCACUGGAAACAAUACCCAUCAAUGCUACUUAUUCCCUAUUAGCUCUCUCUUUGUUCAUGUAACUUGUGCUGUGCCACCUGGAGCGUCAACAGAUCUGUGUGUCAUGUAUUGCGCCGUUUUUAAAUGUUGCUUUCAUUUUGCUCAU